rnacentral:rRNA from 1 species
AUGUCUUCUUGACAACACUUAAUCAGAAGUCUAACCUGCCCUGUGAUAGUAUUUAACGGCCGCGGUAUCCUGACCGUGCGAAGGUAGCAUAAUCAUUUGUCUUAUAAUUGAAGUCUAGAAUGAAGGGUUGAACAAGGGUUAAACUGUCUCUAACUUAUAAAUAAAAAUUUAUCACUAAGUUAAAAAGCUUAGAUUUAAUAGAAAGACGAGAAGACCCUGUCGAGCUUGAAAAACAUUAAGAAAUCUUUAACAUUAAAUUGCAGAUAAAAAAUUUUUAAGAAUUUUAGUUGGGGCGACUUUGGAACAAAAAAAACUUCCGAUAAAAAAAUACAUUGUUAAAUAAAGAUCCAUUAUUUAGUGAUAAGAAAAUUUAGCUACCGCAGGGAUAACAGCAUUAUCUUUUUUGAGAGUUCGCAUCGAAAAAGGGGUUUGUGACCUCGAUGUUGGACCAAAAUUACCUGAAGAUGUAGAAGUCUUCGAAGGUUGGUCUGUUCGACCAUUAAGAUUUUACGUGAUCUGAGUUCAGACCGG